rnacentral:misc_RNA from 1 species
GGCAUUUUAUUACAGCCAUUGAUCAGUAGCAUACUAGCACAGAAAGCAGACACAAGUUCUCUUUAAACUCUAAAUUGUCAUCAUCAGAUUAGAUUAGAUUAGCAAACAGAAAAUCUUACAACUUAAGAUUUCAACAUUUCUUCCUAAAUACUUUAGGGUGUUAAUACAACAACGAACUUUUUGUGCUCACUGACAUCUGCUCGUCUUUAAUCCCCUUCAAUAACUUCAACACUUCAAGCAUAGCAGGCCUAUCAGCAGGAUUAUCAGACAGGCAACUCGAAGCAAUCUUCAGCACUCGAAGCAUCAUCCGCUUUGAAUCUGCGCGUAGAACAGUUGGAUCAAGAACAUCAGCAGCCUGCCCCUUUUUAAUCUUUUGAAACACCCAACCAACCAAAUUCCCGCCUUCGACCUCUUUGAAAUCUGGUCCAGUUGGCUCUUUCCCAGUCACCAAUUCAAGCAGAAUUACACCAAAGCUGUACACAUCUCCUCUUGUGGUCGACCUCCCACUCUGUCCAUACUCUGGUGGAAUGUAUCCAAAAGUUCCAGCAAUCUCAGUGCUAACAUGAGUCUCACAAGCACUGAUCAAUCUCGCCAACCCAAAGUCAGCAACUUUUGGCUCAAAAUCUUCAUUUAGUAAGAUAUUGCUGGCCUUGAUAUCCCUGUGGAUGAUGUGAGGGAUGAAUCCAUGGUGGAGAAAUGCUAGCCCACGUGCAGCACCAAUAGCAAUUUUGAAGCGUUUGGCCCAAUCAAGGAUUUCAAGAGCCCCAGUCCGAUUUCUCAGCCAAAGAUCUAAACUCCCAUUCACCAUAUAUUCAUAAACAAGAAGCUUUUCCUCAUCAAAAGAGCAGUAUCCAAGUAAAGGGACUAGAUUCUGGUGCUUCACCUUGCCCAAAGUUUCCAUUUCAGCUAUGAAUUCUCGGUUACCCUGUGUUUUGGCUUGGCUUAGCUUCUUAACAGCAACCGUUUUCCCAUCAGGCAGUGUGGCCCUGUACACUGUACCAAAACCUCCAUCUCCAAUGAUGUUUGUCUUGCAAAAGUUAUUAGUAGCUUCAAGGAUAUCAACUAAGGUUAUUUUCAGAAGGGGCUGCUCAAACAUAGCUACAUUGAUGCUCAAAGGUUCCUUCGAUCUGCUGCUACUUAAGAAGUAAAGAUUUUGAUCAAUAAAACUGUUUAAUUUGCUUUCUUCAAUUUCCUCAGGAUCACCCUGUUCGCUAGCUCUAGUAAUCCAUCUUCUUAGAGCAAAGGCUAUAGUAAGAAUGAUAAUCAUGCAGCCAACAGCAACCCCUGCAAUUCCCCAGGCACUUAGCAAAGAUGACCCGUCAAAGCUUCCAAUCCUACAAUCUGAACCAAUAACUCUUCCGCACAGAUUUUUGUUGCCAGAGAGUGAAACUUUUGACAGGCUUAGGCAAACCCCACUUCUGGGUACAGGCCCUUCCAAACUGUUUUCUGCCAGAUUCAGGUAGAAUAGAUUAACAAGGGUACAUAUUUUGUCUGGAAUCCGCCCAGAUAACCUAUUACCUGAAAUAUCAACGUAUUCAAGUUGCAUCAUGUUCCCAAGCUCCGGAGGAAUCUCUCCUGAAAACUUAUUUUCAUGAAGAUCCAAGCAUGUCAAGUACGAAAGAUUGCCCAAAGAUUGUGGCAAGAAUCCAUCAAAUAAAUUAUUGCUCAAAUUCAUAGUUUCUAUCCUCCAAGCAAUGGAAUUGGACAACAGCUCAUCUAUAGGCCCAGAAAGCCUAUUCUGCUGAACGUAAAGCCCCACAAGAUUCAGCAUUUGCGACAAUGAUGAAGGAAGCUGACCACCAAGCUCAUUAUUGCUUAAAUCCAAGUGGGUAAGCUCUUUCAAGUUGCCGAAACGAAGAGGAACAGAUCCAUAUAACUUGUUACCUGUCAAAUUCAGUUUCACUAAACUACCCAAACGACCUAAUGUUCCGGGGAUAGUACCUGAGAGCUGAUUAUUCCCCAAAUAUAAACCCUGAAGCUUAGAAGAGUGACCAAAUUCUGGUGGAAUGGAACCACUCAACAAAUUUCCAGAUAAAUCCAAGGUUGUAAGAUUGGUUAACCUGGAAAGUGAUCCUGGAAUUUCACCAGAGAGCUGAUUAUUGUUAAUUAGCAGAUCAACCACCACCACAAGGUUCCCCAAUUCCCCAGGUAUCAAACCAGACAACAUAUUAUGUGACAAAUCAAACACUCCGUGGUGUUGAAUAAAGCUCAAAUCAGGUAUAUUAGCCUCACGAAAAUAUAAAGAAGGCUUCGAAGGAAUGGGACCAGAUAAAUUAUUGUGAGAAAGAACCAAGCAUUGUAGUUGAACCAAAUCUGCAAGUUUCUCCGGAAUUGAACCGUUAAGCCAAUUAUUUCCCAGGUCCAAAGUGGUUAGUGCAAUGCAAUCUCCAAG